AGUGAACGCUGGCGGUAGGCCUAACACAUGCAAGUCGAACGGCAGCACAGGAGAGCUUGCUCUCUGGGUGGCGAGUGGCGGACGGGUGAGGAAUACAUCGGAAUCUACUCUGUCGUGGGGGAUAACGUAGGGAAACUUACGCUAAUACCGCAUACGACCUACGGGUGAAAGCAGGGGAUCUUCGGACCUUGCGCGAUUGAAUGAGCCGAUGUCGGAUUAGCUAGUUGGCGGGAUAAAGGCCCACCAAGGCGACGAUCCGUAGCUGGUCUGAGAGGAUGGUCAGCCACACUGGAACUGAGACACGGUCCAGACUCCUACGGGAGUCAGCAGUGGGGAAUAUUGGACAAUGGGCGCAAGCCUGAUCCAGCCAUACCGCGUGGGUGAAGAAGGCCUUCGGGUUGUAAAGCCCUUUUGUUGGGAAAGAAAUCCAGCUGGCUAAUACCCGGUUGGGAUGACGGUACCCAAAGAAUAAGCACCGGCUAACUUCGUGCCAGCCGCCGCAGUAA
rnacentral:rRNA from 1 species